UUCCACAUAUGCUGUGAUGGACAUAGAAGGGGGCGCACCCAAAGGAGGUGGACACCCAGUCCUACUAAGUGGAUCCAUGACUGAGAAGGCAUUUGCACGUAUAAGGAAAUGAAGAACGCAACAGUCUGGCGAAGUCAAUGGGUAACGGGCUUGAUCCAGUUAUUGCAAGUAAGGUUAUUUGUCUGUGUGCCCCACAAUUGACUGGCGACCAGUUCCCCCGCCCAAAGUCAACUGGGAUAGUCUCUCUCUCUCUCUCUCUCCCUCUCUCUUUGACUGUGCGGAACAGAGAUGGAGAGGGGCGGGAGCACACACGGCAGCACACAGAUGAGGGAGGAAGACGAGUGGAAACAGCAAGGUGCCAUAAGACAAAACACCAACGUGCUGGUGGAUGGAAACUUUGCGUUGGGGUUUUCAACAAAACACACAAAAGGAUCCCACUAGAAUAUUGAACUUGCACAAGAUGCAUUCAUUCCGACUUUUGCAUUGGUGCAAUAUCGCUAUUUUAAUAUUUACAGUCAGAAGUGGGCUCAAGUCAUAGCUUUGCAAGUCACAAGUAAGUCUCAAGUCUUUACCCUCAAGUCCUAAGUCAAGUUUCAAGUCGAGAGGGACAAGUCACAAGUCAAGUCCCAAGUCAAGACAAGCAAGCCCUGAGUCAAGUUGCAAGUUCUACACUUUGAGUUUUGAGUCCUUUCGAGUCAUUUUAGUCACAGUUGGUUUGGCAACUGUUUCCUUCAGUGGCCGAUCGUUCAACUAAUGGUUUUGACGUGAUUCAAAAUUAUAAUCUCCGUUGCACGGCGUCUUCACAUCGCAGUUUACAUUCAAUCAAAAUGCACGGAAGCUUUUCCCUACGGUGAAAAUACUUUUCCGGGUUUGCGAGCCGUGCCGCUGCGUUGCCUCAGCUAAAGCCAUAUAAAUAGUACGUAAAGCAUCAAAUGUUGUUUUACAUCAAUGCUUAACUAUAAUCAUAAUGUAUAAUGUGCCUGUCGAUGAAAAAGCAAAGCUUGUAACCAGAAUGUAUGCAAAGUAGAUCCCUCGCUCGGUACGUUCAAAAACAAAUGGAGGCAGCAGCUUCCUUGCUAAUAUCCACACUUUUCCCUUCAAUUCUAGCCAGCAUCCUGCUUCUUCCUUAACUCUUACUCUAUCUUUUUAUAGUUUAAGAAAUGUGAUCAAGUACAAUAUAUUUUGUGAAAUGGGACGUUCCCCUUCCGGGUGUUUCGUCUUUUGUAAAAGUGUUUCUGCUUUUGUUAAUGUGUUGUCUGAAAUGUAAAAGUGUUUCGGUUUUUGUUCAUUUUUUUUUCUGAACUUUAAAAGUGUUUUGGCUUUUGCCAAUUUGUUUUCUGAAAUGUGUUUCGUUUUUUGUCCAAUUGUUUUCUGAAACAUAAAAGUGUUUUGGCUUAUGUUAAUUUGUUUUCUGAAAUGUAAGUGUUUCAGUUUUUGUUCAAUUGUUUUCUGAACUGUAAAAGUGUUUCAGCUUUUGUUCAUUUGUUUUCUGAAAUGUAAGUGUUUCGGUUUUUGUUGAUUUGUUUUCUGAAAUGCAAAAGUGUUUUGGCUUUUGUUAAUCUGUUUUCUGGAAUGUAAAAGUGUUUCACAAUUUGUUAUAUUGUUUUGCACUUCCAGGCCACCGUAAUGUUGUUAUGAAGCCACAAUUUUAUCCAACUGUGGUAUCUCAGUCGGAACACGAGGCGGCACUUCAUAAAAAUAUUACAUCAAAAAGAGGCGAAGAAGAAGAAAAGGACACGAAGAACAAUGUAGCUUCAUGUCGAAUAGAUGCUAGCUGUGUGCUGAGUUGUAAAUAAAACUGAAUUUGAAGAUAAGAAGUAUGGAAAAUGGAUGGAUGGAUGGAUGAAUGGAUAGAUGGAAAUAUCUGUUAAGAACACCACACUGACUAAACCAGACUGUAAUGAACAGUCCACGGCCGACCUGCCAUGGAACACAAAGCUAGCUGCUAAUGCUAAUGAAAACAAGCAUACUCGUGUUACUAGUAUUUCCACAUAGUUUACAGGCAGGACACGCCCUGCUCCAAUACGAUUGACUCCAGGACACGGGCCGCUCCAUUAUGAUUGGCUGUUGUAUCCCUGUA